AUGUCGAAGGCUUCAGGAUCGCAGAGGAGACAGGAGAAGGAGUCAUCGGAGGAUCUGCUGGCAAGGCUUACGCUGCUGGAGGAGGAAGAAGAUGACUUCAUCUGGGAGGAAGAGCUGUCGGACAUGCUGGAGCCGGCGAAGUGGCUCGCCAUCGUUCGAGUCCACACACCUAAGUCUUUCAGCCCUAAUGCCCUAUACAAUGACAUGAGGGCGGCCUGGAAUCUAGCGAAAAAAGUGGACUGGAGGAAGAUCAAGGGAAAUCUGUUCACGGCACAGUUUGGCUGUUUGGGCGAUUGG
rnacentral:rRNA from 1 species